UGGGGAAUUUGGACAAUGGGCGCAAGCCUGAUCCAGCCAUGCCGCGUGCGGGAAGAAGGCCUUCGGGUUGUAAACCGCUUUUGUCAGGGAAGAAAUCUUCUGAGUUAAUACCUCGGGAGGAUGACGGUACCUGAAGAAUAAGCACCGGCUAACUACGUGCCAGCAGCCGCGGUAAUACGUAGGGUGCAAGCGUUAAUCGGAAUUACUGGGCGUAAAGCGUGCGCAGGCGGUUUUGUAAGACAGAGGUGAAAUCCCCGGGCUCAACCUGGGAACUGCCUUUGUGACUGCAAGGGCUUGAGUGCGGGCAGAGGGGGGAUGGAAUUCCGCGUGUAGCAGUGAAAUGCGUAGAUAUGCGGAGGAACACCGAUGGCGAAGGCAAAUCCCCUGGGCCUGCACUGACGCUCAUGCACGAAAGCGUGGGGAGCAAACAGGAUUAGAUACCCCUGGUAGUCCACGCCCUAAAACGAUGUCAACUGGUUGUUGGGAAGGUUCCUUCUCAGUAACGUAGCUAACGCGUGAAGUUGACCGCCUGGGGAGUACGGCCGCAAGGUUGAAACUUAAAUGAAUUGACGGGGU
rnacentral:rRNA from 1 species